GCUUAACAUCACCGAUGUUCAUCAGAUUUGCCGUACCACUAAAGCACCUACAAGAAAAUUAGACAAAGGAUUUAAAUUAUAUGCUGCAUCAUAUAUACACAACUACGAAGAUUAAGCACCAUUGCCAGUGGUGUUGACACACAACCAUCAUUCCUGUGUGGCAGGCACUGUUCUGUGCAAUCACACAGUGGCAUUGCUGUUCCAAAUAGCACAUUAUUCACAGCUCAACAUCCCCUGUACAUAGCUGCACAGAAUCUGAACAGCAGUGGCACAAGCCACGGUUAAUGGGUGUGAAGCCAGGAUCCAUCAACUCCAUGAUCUUCACAAAGCCAGUACCAAAUAGGAUUGUCCAGACUGGAGUAAGGAGUGGAUUCUACAGAGGCAUGGUGGGUCCAUUACCGGAUCCCUGCAUGUUCAGAAUAAUGGAGGAGUACGCAAACUUUAGUAUCGAGGACAGGCCCCUUGUGACCACGAUGAACAUGAGACCUGACAAGCCCCUUGUGGAUAGUGCCUUCGGGUUGGUGCAGGAGGGCAGUGUUCUGUCAUAUCAGUAGCCUGCUGUGACAUUGUGGUACAUCACACUACACCAUAAUACACCACCAACACUGCACUUGUCUCUGGAGGGGUACGUUAUGUUGCCAACUGAUUGUGUGUUUGUGUGCUCGGAAGAGGAGCUACUACAGCUCAACAGCUUUUCUUUAACCAUGGAAAUGACUCACAAAAUUGAGGAAGCUACACGUGAGCAAAGCUCUAGCUCUGAUUAGCAUCUGCUCUGCAGACCCCAGGGUGCCUGCCUCAAGGUUUUGGGAAGUGUCAUGUCAGAGUCCAGAGCUCUGCAGAGUCACUUGCAGAGCACAUAAUCAAGGGAACAAGGCAGACGGCAGACAUGAGGAGAGGUGCUGAGAUGGAGCCUGCAGUAACACAAGAAUCGCUGUGUAGUGUGCUGAUGUAUUUAAAGAGGAGAUGAUACCUUUAAUUUAGCCUUUAGGCCCCCUACACAAAUACAAUGACAUAAUAUUUGAGAAAUAUUGUCUCCCCCUCACCAGUUUUUGUUUGUCUGUGUGUGUGUGUGAGUCUGUGUAUAAACAACGACACCUGCUAUAUAACUACCAACAAAGUACACUCAGACCAUAGCCUACCGUUGAUGGACGUGCUUUUGUGACCACAUCUUCAUUUCUCUUGGCAGCUGAUUUGGCUCUUGAGACCUGACCAUUUUAUAAAUGGAAGGCUCAAUCAAAAAUCAAAAUGCCAUCAGAUGGUCAUAGCUUGGAAAUAUAUUCACAGAAAAUCAUAUACUGUCACCUUAAUCAUGUUGUAACAACUAAGUUAAUGUGUUACC